rnacentral:lncRNA from 1 species
GCCGGCAGGGCUUGGGGGCGCCUUAGAGCCGAACCCCGUUUUUUCAGGAAAGGGCGCUGCGACCACCCCCGUCCCGGGCCUCAGCCCCUCUGCUGCAGACCCUCGGGAUCGUCGCUGGCAAAUAGAUACAAGAAAUCUGAUCCUGUCCUCUCAAAGAAAACCCUCUGAAAUAAACUUAUCACCUUUAAAAAAGGGAUGUUGAAGAACAAGAUGGAUUUUUGUUGUUGUUGUCGUUUUUUGAGAUGGAGUCUCGCUCUUGUCGUCCAGGCCGGAAUGCGGUGGUGCGAUCUCGGCUCACUGCAACCUCCGCCUCCCAGGUUUAAGCGAUUCCCCUACCUCAGCCUCAUGAGUAGCUAGGAUUAUAGGCACCUGCCACCACGCCCGGCUAAUUUUUGUAUUUUUAGUAGAGACUGGGUUUCGCCAUGUUGGCCAGGCUGGUCUCAAUCUCCUGACCUCAGGUGAUCUGCCCGCCUCGGCCUCCCAAAGUGCUGGGAUUACAGACGUGAGCACCCAGCCUGGAUGUUGUUUUUGAUGACACUGCUAAGCACUUAUGUGAGGGAUUGUUUGGGUGGUUUGGGUCUAGAUCUAAGAUAAAGACAGUAGGAAAGAAAUGAGAGGUGGAAGGUUGUCCUAGGCUGAGGUGGUGGUCCAGGGACUUUCUGGCAGCCUGGAUGGAUGCCUGGGCAGAAUUUAU